GAGGAAGCUUGCCUGAUCAGUAUGGGGCUUUGUAACUGGAGUUCUGGGAACAAUCCCUUGCAGUAUCAGAGGUUUACUGGAACCGGGAGUGCAAAUUCUCAAGCUGCUCUCAUCUCUGGUUACUACAGAACUAUAAAUCUAAGGAAACCGAGCUGCAAAGCCCCAAAAUCUGCUACCUCAUAGCAGAAGGGCUACACAGCAUAAAAAUGAGUCACUAGCAGAGGAAGGACUAAGCCCUUGUGGUACCUGUCCAAUUGCUGCAAUGGAUGACCUGCCAGAGACUGCUUUUUGUCCUCUGGAGAUAGUUUAGCAGUGCCAAGGGAUGGUGAAUGAACCCUCGAUAAGGAAAUCACAGAGGCACUCAACUUCA